rnacentral:pre_miRNA from 1 species
GGGGGGAGGCUGGAUCCUGGGCUGUGUCCUGGCGCCCUGUGCUCCCGGCCUGCACUGUAGGAUUCGCGCUCCCGGCAGCGCAGCCCCCU